UACGGGGGGGGCAAGCGUUGUUCGGAAUUACUGGGCGUAAAGGGCUCGUAGGUGGCCAACUAAGUCAGACGUGAAAUCCCUCGGCUUAACCGGGGAACUGCGUCUGAUACUGGAUGGCUUGAGUUCGGGAGAGGGAUGCGGAAUUCCAGGUGUAGCGGUGAAAUGCGUAGAUAUCUGGAGGAACACCGGUGGCGAAGGCGGCAUCCUGGACCGACACUGACGCUGAGAAGCGAAAGCCAGGGGAGCAAACGGG
rnacentral:rRNA from 1 species